UGGGGAAUAUUGCACAAUGGGCGCAAGCCUGAUGCAGCCAUGCCGCGUGUAUGAAGAAGGCCUUCGGGUUGUAAAGUACUUUCAGCGGGGAGGAAGGUGUUGUGGUUAAUAACCACAGCAAUUGACGUUACCCGC
rnacentral:rRNA from 1 species